GACGUAGGGCGCGAGCGUUGUCCGGAUUUAUUGGGCGUAAAGAGCUCGUAGGCGGCUUGUCGCGUCGACUGUCGAAAUCCCGCGGCUCAACUGCGGGUCUGCAGUCGAUACGGGCAGGCUAGAGUUCGGUAGGGGAGACUGGAAUUCCUGGUGUAGCGGUGAAAUGCGCAGAUAUCAGGAGGAACACCGAUGGCGAAGGCAGGUCUCUGGGCAUUAACUGACGCUGAGGAGCGAAAGCAUGGGGAGCGAACAGG
rnacentral:rRNA from 1 species